UGAGUUCAACACUGCAGGACUCAGAUCUGUCAGUCAGCACAGCAGGAACCACAACCACCAUGACUCUGAUCACCAUCCUCAUCUGGACGCUGGCCUGCUGCUGUUUCACAGGAUGCAGCGGUCAGGUGACUGUGACUCAGCCUCCAGUAGUGACAUCUACUCCAGGAUCCACUGUCACUCUCACCUGUAAGACUAGUAAACCUGUUUACAGAGAUAGUGAUGGAGAUGACGCUAUGUUCUGGUACCAACAGAAAUCUGGACAGCCUCCAAAGCUCCUCAUAAAAUAUGCCAGCACAAGUGAAUCAGGAACACCAGCUCGGUUUAGUGGCAGUGGAAGAAGCUCUGACUUCACUUUGACCAUCAGUGGAGUUCAGACUGAAGAUGCAGCAGUUUAUUACUGUCAGAGUUACCAUUAUAUAAACAGUGCUAGCGUGUUCACACAGUGAUUUAUAGUCGUACAAAAACCUCCCUCAGUCAGACUGCAGAGACUCUGAGCUGUAACAGCAGGAACCGACUGCAGCUGCUGAAGAGGAAGAGACUCU